UUUUUAUAAUAAUUAACAGCUCAGCAAAAGUAGGCAAAGUGAGAGCUUCAAAACCACCAUUAUAAAAGAAAAAAUUAACAAAAUUCUACACAAUAAAAGAAACAAAAUCCUACUCAAAUAAAAAGUAAAUAAGUAAAAGCUAAGUCAUCAUCCAUUUUUAAUCGUAUAUGUGAUGAAUAUCUCAGCCCCAACCACGACAGGGACGCAUGCAGGUAAUCAGAAGAUAUGGGUGGAUUGCGUUUUGUUUACUUUUUCUUUCUCUUUGUUUGUUUGUUUUAAUGUGGUAAUCAGGGGUGGGGUUGGGUAUUGUGUUAGGCACACGUACACAUAUCGGCGUGUGGUUGGUACAAUUAUAUUUGGAAAAUUAAUUUAAACUAUAGGAUUAAUACACGUGGAAGGCUCAAUUUAUUGGGUUUGUGUAAAAAAUAGCACCGCGUAUCUGAAUUAUAAUUUAUGACAGUAAUUUGAAUUUUUGUUAGUUCUGUUAAGUGGUAUUUGACGUAUCACUGUCUCGCAUCUUGCGUGGCAGAUUGAGAGAUGACGUGGCUGGCGGUGAAAAAUUGUUUUGCCAUGUCUUAACUAUUCACCACCCUAACCCCCUAAUUCUGCAUCCCUAAUAUUGCGAUUGACGAUUCGCCUUCGAUCUUCUUCUCUGCAGCUAUCACCUUUCUCAGUUCAAACCCAACAACCCUGCAGUAAUGGAGUUAAAACAAGUAUAGAUCCUGAUGCCGAAAUCUGCCGUACAGCUAUUGUACAUCGUUCGUCGGAGGGACAGGUUGUGGUAUUUGUUCACCUGGAUAUACCAUGGCCGAUGGGGUCAGACAGAUUUUUGGGGAGGAUGAUAUUUUUAUGAAAUGCUCACGCAAUGCAGCGCAAUCUAUUGGGGAUAACAUUCAAUCCCAUAUCAAUAGCCGAAGAAGUGAAGAGAUGUAAUAGAAGAUGACAUUCAACAACCGAUAAAAUCUCCUACCCGGGUUCUUCCAAGUACCGGAAACCAUCAAGACAACAACUUGAUUGUGCCUGUAGUUCGGCCAAUUCGAUCCUGUUGACUUACAGGAUGGACUACCAAUUCCUUUCAUAUUACUUCUAUGCUUGCUACAGGGGAAGAAAAAUGGAAGCCAUUGAGGCCGGCGGUCUCGUCAAGAAUAGAGGAUCGAAGAUAAGGAGGAAUAAAAGGAAGAGGAC
rnacentral:lncRNA from 1 species